GAUGAACGCUGGCGGCGUGCCUAAUACAUGCAAGUCGAGCGAACAGACGAGGAGCUUGCUCCUCUGACGUUAGCGGCGGACGGGUGAGUAACACGUGGAUAACCUACCUAUAAGACUGGGAUAACUUCGGGAAACCGGAGCUAAUACCGGAUAAUAUUUUGAACCGCAUGGUUCAAUAGUGAAAGACGGUUUUGCUGUCACUUAUAGAUGGAUCCGCGCCGCAUUAGCUAGUUGGUAAGGUAACGGCUUACCAAGGCAACGAUGCGUAGCCGACCUGAGAGGGUGAUCGGCCACACUGGAACUGAGACACGGUCCAGACUCCUACGGGGGGCAGCAGUAGGGAAUCUUCCGCAAUGGGCGAAAGCCUGACGGAGCAACGCCGCGUGAGUGAUGAAGGUCUUCGGAUCGUAAAACUCUGUUAUUAGGGAAGAACAAAUGUGUAAGUAACUAUGCACGUCUUGACGGUACCUAAUCAGAAAGCCACGGCUAACUACGUG
rnacentral:rRNA from 1 species